rnacentral:rRNA from 1 species
AUUGAACGCUGGCGGCAGGCCUAACACAUGCACGUCGAGCGGAGCGGCGGAGGGGUGAGUAAUGCCUAGGAAUCUGCCUGGGAGUGGGGGAUAACGUACGGAAACGGGAGCUAAUACCGCAUACUAUCAGAUGAGCCUAGGUCGGAUGAGAUAGUUGGGGGGGUAAAGGCCUACCAAGGCAAAGAUCCGUAACUGGUCUGAGAGGAUGGUCAGUCACACUGGAACUGAGACACGGUCCAGAAUCCUACGGUAGGCAGCAGUGGGGAAUAUUGGACAAUGGGCGAAAGCCUGAUCCAGCCAUGCCGCGUGUGUGAAGAAGGUCUUCGGAUUGUAAAGCACUUUAAGUUGGGAGGCGUUACCAACAGAAUAAGCACAGGCUAACUUCGUGCCAGCAGCCGCGGUAAUUC